rnacentral:rRNA from 1 species
AGGAUAAACGCUGGCGGCGUGCCUAACACAUGCAAGUCGAACGUCUCUUCUUUCGGGAAGAGGAGUGGCGGACGGGUGAGGAACACGUGGGAACCUGCCCUUCAGUGAGGAAUACCGGCGAGAAAUCGCCGACAAGACCGCAUAGCCCUCUCUGGUGAGAGCCAGAGAAGGAAAGCCUCGCAAGAGGCGCUGGAGGAGGGGCCUGCGUCCGAUUAGCUAGUUGGUGGGGUAAGAGCCUACCAAGGCGUCGAUCGGUAGCUGGUCUGAGAGGACGAUCAGCCACACUGGGAUUGAGAACGGCCCAGACUCCUACGGGGGGCAGCAGUGAGGAAUUUUCGGCAAUGGGGGAAACCCUGACUGAGCAACGCCGCGUGCAGGAAGACGGCCUUCGGGUUGUAAACUGCUUUUCGUUUGGGACGAGCAAGGACGGUACCAGAGGAAUCAGCCCGGCUCACUACGUGCCAGCAGCCGC